UUAUGACCGUACUUGACUAUACCGGUCACAGCUUGGCUUGGCCCACGUAAAAUGAAAUCCAAUGACAUUCAAGCAAACGCGGAAGAAUACAUGGGGUUCUGCAUACAAUCCAUGUAUCAUUCUUAUGACGAACAGAGUAUAGAUUUUAACGUUUUAUUAAUAUUCACCUACGUAUCUAUUAAACAUGAUUUUUAAAUUUGUUUGAAAAAGAGAGUUUUAAUUUCAGCCAGUUCAUGGAACAUCUCUGGCUUAACCAUGUACCGGUAGCCGCACGGAACUGUUGCCCUAAAAAAAACUUGAGUUUGUGUAAAACGUAUUUACUGGUUUUCAAGUUGUUGUUGUUGUUGUUGUUUGGAAAUAGUGGGGCUAUGGUGGCAGCUGUGUACUGAUGAACAGAACCAGAUGAGGUACUGUUAAGGGCAAGAAUGAGUAUUACUCUGGCCCUUCUGCGCAAGUACUGGCCCUUCCAUUCUUGAAAAUGGAGGUCACAAUGACUGUAUUAUUGGGUCAUAUGGGAAAAGUUAUGUCUGCAUUGCAGUAUUUCUCAGCUGCUAGACAAUCAUGGCAGCUGUGUAGCAGUAAAACAAUGUCAUGUGACCAGACUGAGAAACCGUGUGACAUUGUUUACAUUCUUCCACUUGUGACAAAUUCAAACACUCAGAGAGUAGGUAUUACAUGAUUUACCUGAGGAUUGGUGGUCCAAUGAAACAUCAAAUUUGUGAUUUCUUUACUGUCAUGUGGAAAGAAUGGGAGCCCAGCAGUAGACAGGACAGAUGCAUAUACAGAAGAUGAUUGUCAACAUUCUGACUUCAGUAUGUUACACAUCAAGAAUGGAAUAGGUGCAGCACAAUUGUUUUGACUAACUGCUAGCCAAAGAUGAAAUCACGUUCUGCUCCAUUAAACCAGAGUACUGCUCAUCAAAUUUUGAUUACUUGUUCCCAUAAGGUUGUGUGUAAUGGCGGAAAAUUGUACUGGCCACAAAGUUUUCGUAACAGUACAUCCUUAUGUCGGGCUAAUGUGCAGAUGAGGGAUUUUAAAUCUGGAGCUGUUUUACAUGCAGUAAUAUGACCUCACAGGUUGAGAAGUAGCAAUGGUGUUAACCACGUGUCAUGGUACGGCACAGGUUUUUAUCCGGAUGUGGAACUGGUGCUGCUUGCAGUCAUCAGGAGUUACCAGAAGGCAAACGUGAUACCUGGCCUACAGGAAGCUCUCUCUCCUAAGUUAUUAGUGAGAAAUUUACACUCUUGGUAUUCUUGUUGUGGUCAUUAACAACUUCAAGUGCAUAAAAAAUUUGUCAAUUUUGAAAAAUUUGCAGAAUUUUUAUAUGACCUACUUAGGUUUCAUGUGAGGAAAUGCUGAUACUGAGUCAGCUGAAUCAGUAAAUAAAGGUAACACUGACAUAAGUGUCUACUUUCAUGUUGCAUUGCAGCACAGAAUCAUCUUUGUUUACAAAAGAUACAGAAGAAAUGUUGAGAUUUCUAGUAUAAAUUAGUUUUCAUUUUCACAAAUGGCAUUUAACAAAAUGUUUGUGUUGAGUUUGUUACUGGCACUAUUGUGCAUGUGCUGUUGUAAAAACUUCUUUAUUGGGGUAUUUUAGAGUAUAAGUGUUUUCAAGUGGACAAGCCUGAACAAUUUUUGGUAUGAAUGUUGAAAACUUCUCGAAUGUUAUUCAACAAAUGGUAUAGCACGUUGUUUUGGUUGGGAAAAAGAAAGAUUGCAAAUGCAGUGCCCUUCUGUGAGGUUACCAAGGAGGAAAGAAAAUAAAUUGCAAUGACACUGUCUAAGGACGAAGUUGAACAACAUAAGCCUUUAUUUAAUGCAGCUAUUCACAAUAUCCAUGCAUCGUGCACAAUGUUAGUCAAACUUGGUUAAACCAGUAGCUGAGUAGUACACUUCACCCUUCUCUAGUAAAUGUUCUCUGGACAAUGAUGGAUCUAAGGACCACCUUCUGAUGAACACGGACAUCCUUCCCUCUCAACCUCAUUUGAAGUGUGCCUAGGUGCCUCACCAGUUUUAGCAUCCUUCUGCAAACCAAUUCCUGUAGUGACGUGUCGCCCCUCAGUGAGUGCGUACGUAGAAGUGGUAGAUAUUGAGAUUACUGAUCACAGAAAAGAAAGCAACUACAAUUGCUUACUAGUGUAAAGACGUCAAAACCACAUCAGAUACCUGUAAAAUUUUACUAAGGUUAUGCAAGUAACGUGCUCCCAUCCUAGCAGCAGUUGAUCACAGUUCGCUGGAGCAACAAAAGGUACCUCGCGACUGGAGAAAAGUGUAAGUCAAUCCCAUUUUCCAGAAAGGCCGUAGAACAGAUGGACAUAAUUAUAUGCGUGUGCGGUUGACGUCAGUCUGUUGUAAAAUAAUGGAAGAUGUUUUAUUCUGAAGAAUUGUCAUUUUGGAGGAUGAAAAUAAUAUGUAUAGAAAAUCAACACGGAUUUCACAAACUAGAUCCUGCAAAACUCAACGGUCUGCUUCUCCGUGAGAUCCGUAGCACUGUAAAGGCAUUCAGGUUGAUGCGGUGUUCCUCGACUUCGGGAAGGCCUUUGACAUCGUCCUGUACUGCUGUUUAGUGAAAGAUCAGAGUAUCGGACCAGAUUUGCAACUGGAUUGAUGACUUGCUUGCAGGUAAAACUCGACAAAUUGCCGUUAACAGAUUAAAAUCGGCAGAUGUAGAAGCAUUUUCCGGGGUAUCCCAAGGAAGUGUGAUAGGACCAUUACUGUUGUGGUGUAACAGGUUGUUCCACCUCCUCCUCACACUCACACUCACACUCAGAUGAAAGACGCCAGUGUAAAAACAUUGUUUAGUAAGGAAUUUUUCACUGUGCACUAAGUGGCCCGAUCGACGUACAGAGUGAGCACGGAACAUCACCGAGGCCGCCGCCGAUUGAGCGUCUUCACCCGUGGUGAAGUGGUUUCUUAUACUUUGGCGUCGAGGUGUGGUGGUUUUUUGGAAGGUAGAGUAUGGGAAGUGACGUCUCGGAUAACAGUGCUCGGAAACAGUUUAAAGAAGCUGAAGAAAAAUGUCAUUACAUUCAGAUCUGUUCUCUCGUGUUCUGUUUUAAGAAUUCGAAUGGAGACAUUGCUUUGAUGUACUGACCAAUAAGUUACCUGUUUGCCCAGUGUCUUAAUCGUUACGAGAGCAGCAAAUUACAGAAGAGUUCUUUCAAAGGCAGUUCAGUCUUUCCGGAGCAAGUCGGUGUAAAUGUGAGCUCUCUCAGAGCCCUCCACCCUCCGUAACUGUCUUAGUCUUUUCACGGUGCGAGGAGCGGCACUGCAUAGAAAGUCCAAGGCUUCAAGAAACUAAGAAGGCAAUCACUUGUCUUAUAGCUUCUCAAGUCUUCUAAUGAUCAGUGUCUGUUUGCGGCAUUUUUGAUUUGGGGGAAACCCAAAGGGGACGGUCACAAACACUGAGGUCGCAGGAACGAGUGGCCCGAGCAGUAUCGCCAUUGUCAGAGACAUUGUGGCCACAAAACUUCCUCCUCCAGGAACCCAUUAUGUCAUUUGCUUUGUGUGGGUAGUUUCUCCAUCCUGUCGAAACAAAAUUUUUUUGUUGGACCGAGAUGUUUCCUUUCCACUUCAGGAUUUAAGAAUGUCCUCAGUUUACUAUAAAUGUUCUGUCCUUUCUCAGAAAAGUACAAUCCACACCACACUGUGACUUAGGAGUUAUGCAGGGUUGUUUGUGUAACUGUUGUCGGUUUGUGUCCGACCAAUGGCAAAAAUUUUAUUUGUUUACAUAUCUCUCAAGAUGGAAAUGAGCCUCAUUACUGAGUACAAGAAUUUUUAUAAUCGUAUUGUCAGCUCGAUCGUUUGUACCAAAAGUAUUUGACUAUUAGCAUAGUCUGAGGCCUGCGGAGAAAGCAAUUUUAUAUUGGUGACAGUAUAACUCCUGAGCAAUAGAAUAUUUGAAGAGCAGCAGCUUUUCUGUGCACAGGUCGAUGUGGGCCGACCGGGGAUUGUCCUUUCGCUGGAUGUUGUCCGGUGUUUUGACUUAUCUUGGACGUUCUGUAGCCUUUUGUUGUAAUGAUAAACCAGUUGAUCUGAAGUUUUUGACCCACAACUUAACCAUGUUAAGGGAUGGAAUUUAUCCCCUGCUAUUCACUUGAAAAUGCCUGCAAAACUGAAUUGUCUGACAAUACCAGAAUCACCACUUUUAAAAUUCAUUCAACAACAAAUGAGCAAUGCUCGCUGGACUACUUCUCUGUGGCAACCCAAUCGUGUGGUGUCCGAAGCUUGGGUUUUACUUGAGAUUGAGCAACAGGGUUGGUAACCACAGCUUAGCUGGUUAGCCUCGGUGAGAGGCAGACUUAGACCUAGCUAAGAAGUUACAGUAUCUGGUGUGAAAGUAGCAAAAGGUGGGAAGAUAAUUUCAGCAACUCUCCAGAACCAUUUCACAAUCUGAAGUUUAUUUGAAAAGGUAAAGAAUGAACUAACUGUUCUGGCUGAGAAGUUUCCAAUGAGCGGCAGAGUCCGAUACAGAGACGGCGUGAGACAACUGCCAUUCUGUCUACUCUUCGAAUGCAAUCCACACGACUAAGUCAGUCCCACAGCUGCUGCCUAUCAAGCUCCUCCAGACUGCCUACCGCUUCCUCACUCCUAUACUGCUUCUAACCGCUUCUGAACUCUUCUCUGAGUGUCUUGCUGUUGAGUUUUGUACCAUUUUCCCCUUUCCGUCCCACCGGCUAUUGCUAUGACGCAAUGUUGAGGGCUAUUUGCCUCCUUAUUGGCUGUCAUUGUGCACUAUUCAGAGGCCGGGUGGAGAAGUAGAGACGCCUCUCUUAAAACGGUCACACACUGCGUCCUAAGCCCUGUAUCGGCUUCUCGUGACGUGCUGUCCCCACCAGAAGGCCGUCUCUCUCGCUCCCUCUCGUCCCACACUCUCUCUGACCAGAUGUUUUCAUAUUAACUUUAAUUCCAUUCCUUAUCGAGGACCCCGUUGUGAAGCUGCUUCCGGGUCUGUGGCUCCUCUCGCGGCACCUAAAUACAUUACAAUUGGUCUCAAGUAACCUUGAGAACACCGCACUCCCCACCAUCUCCUACACGCGACUGCCAUAAUGUGCACAUAUGAAAACCGUCGGGUAUUUCUGCCGCUCCCUACACAAAUAACUCAUUAAAUAACUGGUCAGUUAUCUACCAGCAGCACAACAUUCUUAAUUACUUUGUGCUGACAUAACAUUUACACCCAACAGCGUGUACUAAAUAAUAAAUUACGUUCGAGCAAGAAACUCUCGAAAACCUGAACCGUCCCUGGAUGUUUGUUAGCGUGACCUUUAUCGUUCCCAGCAGACCUGAAUUUUGUAGUCACCACUGCUACUCAAGCUAAAUCAGUGAAAGUCCAUCGCACUGUAAAUUGGUUAAAACCACUACUCUUCACAGGUUUGCAACUGCAAAGACAUGACAGACAUUAAAGUCGCUCAUGUGCGAUGUCGUCACAAACUAAACUGUCUCUAAAGGUUGAAAUUGGCACGUUGAGAUAUACGAGCUACCAUGUUCACCCGAGAUUAUUUGAAGCCCUGCAACACAAAAGAAAUGUUUGCAGCACGUACACUGCCCUUUCCACGAACCACCUGACUUGACGGACUCCAGAUGAAACAGAGGCAGAAAUACCUCACCAAAACCCCAGAUGCAAGACGACAGACUAAAGUUCUGCCUGCGCUACUCACGUGAAGAUUCGUUCACACGACCACUCAUCGAUUCAGUGCAGAUGCUUUCAUCUUGACAAACAUUCAUUAUUUUCACAAUAAUUUCAUAUAAAUGCCUAUGAUAAAACAUAGAAAAUCUUUGCAGUCAGUAUGUGGCUUCUUAAUAAAAUCAUUCAAGCAUUAUUUCAAAACACACUAACUUCACCUAGUUAAUAAAUCAUGACUAUAAUUACACAUCGAAAGUUAUUGGAAUAUUAAAGAAGGAAACUCGUGGUGAUAACAUCAUUUGUUUAUCUGUGGAGGAUUCCAUAGUUACGGCACUAUUUACAUAAACUAAAUUGUUUGUAACAUUUUGGUAUACUUGUUAAAUUGGAAAAGUAGUCUGUUCAUACAAUUUCUGGUAUCAUCUGCUUUCAUUUGAUGAUGUACAAACAGUACAGA